rnacentral:rRNA from 1 species
UCCUACGGGUGGCAGCAGUGAGGAAUAUUGGACAAUGGGCGCAAGCCUGAUCCAGCCAUGCCGCGUGCAGGAAGAAGCAUCUAUGGUGUGUAAACUGCUUUUGUACGGGAAGAAACACUCCUACGUGUAGGAACUUGACGGUACCGUAAGAAUAAGGAUCGGCUAACUCCGUGCCAGCAGCCGCGGUAAUACGGAGGAUCCAAGCGUUAUCCGGAAUCAUUGGGUUUAAAGGGUCCGUAGGCGGUUUAGUAAGUCAGUGGUGAAAGCCCAUCGCUCAACGAUGGAACGGCCAUUGAUACUGCUAGACUUGAAUUACAAGGAAGUAACUAGAAUAUGUAGUGUAGCGGUGAAAUGCUUAGAUAUUACAUGGAAUACCAAUUGCGAAGGCAGGUUACUACUUGUGGAUUGACGCUGAUGGACGAAAGCGUGGGGAGCGAACAGGAUUAGAUACCCUUGUAGUC